rnacentral:rRNA from 1 species
AUUGAACGCUGGCGGCAUGCUUUACGCAUGCAAGUCGAACGGUAACAGGCCGCAAGGUGCUGACGAGUGGCGAACGGGUGAGUAAUGCAUCGGAACGUGCCCAGUCGUGGGGGAUAACUACUCGAAAGAGUAGCUAAUACCGCAUACGAUCUAUGGAUGAAAGCGGGGGACCGUAAGGCCUCGCGCGAUUGGAGCGGCCGAUGUCAGAUUAGGUAGUUGGUGGGGUAAAGGCUCACCAAGCCAACGAUCUGUAGCUGGUCUGAGAGGACGACCAGCCACACGGGGACUGAGACACGGCCCAGACUCCUACGGGAGGCAGCAGUGGGGAAUUUUGGACAAUGGGCGCAAGCCUGAUCCAGCAAUGCCGCGUGCAGGAAGAAGGCCUUCGGGUUGUAAACUGCUUUUGUACGGAACGAAACGGCUCUGGUUAAUACCCGGGGCUAAUGACGGUACCGUAAGAAUAAGCACCGGCUAACUACGUG